rnacentral:rRNA from 1 species
AACGAACGCUAGCGGCAUGCCUCAAACAUGCAAGUCGAACGAGAAAGUGACUUCGGUCACAAGUACAGUGGCGCACGGGUGAGUAACACGUAACUAACGUCCCUCAUCGCUGGGGAUAACUCCGGGAAACCGGAGCUAAUACCGAAUGAUCUGAUUCUUACUGCGGUAGGAAUUGGUAAAGCCUUCGGGCGCGAUGAGAUCGGGUUGCGGCCGAUUAGCUAGUUGGUGGGGUAAUGGCCUACCAAGGCGACGAUCGGUAGCUGGUCUGAGAGGAUGAUCAGCCACACUGGAACUGAAACACGGUCCAGACACCCACGGGUGGCAGCAGUUGGGAAUUUUGGACAAUGGGAGAAAUCCUGAUCCAGCGAUGCCGCGUGUGUGAUGAAGGCCUUCGGGUCGUAAAGCACUUUCAGCAGGGAAGAAGGGAAACUUGACUGUACCUGCAGAAGAAGCACCGGCUAACUCCGUG